rnacentral:rRNA from 1 species
UACGAAGGGGGCUAGCGUUGCUCGGAAUCACUGGGCGUAAAGCGCACGUAGGCGGCUUUUUAAGUCAGGGGUGAAAUCCUGGAGCUCAACUCCAGAACUGCCUUUGAUACUGAGAGGCUUGAGUCCGGGAGAGGUGAGUGGAACUGCGGGUGUAGAGGUGAAAUUCGUAGAUAUUCGCAAGAACACCAGUGGCGAAGGCGGCUCACUGGCCCGGUACUGACGCUGAGGUGCGAAAGCGUGGGGAGCAAACAGG